UGAGUAACCUGCCCUUAACUCUGGGAUAAGCCUGGGAAACUGGGUCUAAUACCGGAUAUGACUCCUCAUCGCAUGGUGGGGGGUGGAAAGCUUUAUUGUGGUUUUGGAUGGACUCGCGGCCUAUCAGCUAGUUGGUGGGGUGAUGGCCUACCAAGGUGUCGACGGGUAGCCGGCCUGAGAGGGUGACCGGCCACACUGGGACUGAGACACGGCCCAGACUCCUACGGGAGGCAG
rnacentral:rRNA from 1 species